rnacentral:tRNA from 1 species
AAGCAGCCGCCGGAAGAACGGAUGCCAUUGAUGUUGGUAAAUAUGAGGGAUAACCUUGCUGCUUU